rnacentral:rRNA from 1 species
UACGGGGGAGCAAGCGUUGUUCGGAUUUACUGGGCGUAAAGGGCGCGUAGGCGGCGCGGUAAGUCACUUGUGAAAUCUCUGAGCUUAACUCAGAACGGCCAAGUGAUACUGCAGUGCUAGAGUGCAGAAGGGGCAAUCGGAAUUCUUGGUGUAGCGGUGAAAUGCGUAGAUAUCAAGAGGAACACCUGGAGGUGAAGACGGGUUGCUGGGCUGACACUGACGCUGAGGCGCGAAAGCCAGGGGAGCGAACGGG